rnacentral:pre_miRNA from 14 species
UUGUAGAGAAAAUGAAAGACCCCCAGAGUGGGGAGACCCUCACUCAAGUCUCGGGAUGAUGCGAUCCCCCAAGAACUCACACAAGACC